rnacentral:rRNA from 1 species
CAACUCCCAAACCCCUGUGAACAUACCUUUAACGUUGCCUCGGCGGGACCGCCCCGGCGCCCACUCGCGGCCCGGACCCAGGCGCCCGCCGGAGGACCCAAACUCUUGCUUUGAACAGUGGCAUACUCUCUGAGUCUCACAAACAAAAAUGAAUCAAAACUUUCAACAACGGAUCUCUUGGCUCUGGCAUCGAUGAAGAACGCAGCGAAAUGCGAUAAGUAAUGUGAAUUGCAGAAUUCAGUGAAUCAUCGAAUCUUUGAACGCACAUUGCGCCCGCCAGCAUUCUGGCGGGCAUGCCUGUCCGAGCGUCAUUUCAACCCUCAGGACCCCUUCGGGGGACCUGGUGUUGGGGGCCGGCCGCCUCGCGCGCCGCCCCCGAAAUGCAGUGGCGACCUCGCCGCAGCCUCCCCUGCGUAGUAGCACAACCUCGCACCGGAGCGCGGAGACGGUCACGCCGUAAAACGCCCAACUUUCACGAGUUGACCUCGGAUCAGGUAGGAAUACCCGC